rnacentral:rRNA from 1 species
CCCGACUGCUAUUUGGGUGAGGAUAAGCCAUGCGAGUCGAAUGGGAUACCUAAAUUUCCCAUGGCGAACUGCUCAAUAACACAUGAUCAACUUACCCUAUAGAGAAAAAUAACCUCGGGAAACUGAGGAUAAUGUUUCAUAGUUGAAAAGGCUUGGAAAAGUUUUUCGACCAAAGGGAUAAGAAAAAUGGCUUUUAUCCGCUAUAGGAUAGGAUCGUGGUCGAUUAUGGUCGUUGGUGAGGUAAUGGCUCACCAAGCCGAUAAUCGAUAGGGGCCGUGAGAGCGGGAGCCCCGAGAUGGGUACUGAGACAGCGACCCAGGCCUUACGAGGCGCAGCAGGCGCGGAACCUCCGCAAUACACGAAAGUGUGACGGGGUUACCCAAAGUGUUCAAUUUUGAACUGUGGUAGGUGAGUAAUGUUCCCUACUAGAAAGGAGAGGGCAAGGCUGGUGCCAGCCGCCGCGGUAAAACCAGCUCUUCAAGUGGUCGGGAUAAUUAUUGGGCUUAAAGUGUCCGUAGCCGGUUUAGUAAGUUCCUGGUAAAAUCGGGUAGCUUAACUAUCUGCAUGCUAGGAAUACUGCUAUACUAGAGGACGGGAGAGGUCUGAGGUACUACAGGGGUAGGGGUGAAAUCUUAUAAUCCUUGUAGGACCACCAGUGGCGAAGGCGUCAGACUGGAACGUGCCUGACGGUGAGGGACGAAAGCCAGGGGAGCAAACCGGAUUAGAUACCCGGGUAGUCCUGGCCGUAAACGAUGCAUACUAGGUGAUGGCAUGGCCAUGAGCCGUGUCAGUGCCGUAGGGAAACCGUUAAGUGUGCCGCCUGGGAAGUACGGUCGCAAGGCUAAAACUUAAAGGAAUUGGCGGGGGAGCACCACAAGGGGUGAAGCCUGCGGUUC